rnacentral:lncRNA from 1 species
CCCUGGUGAGAGAAGACAUGGCUGGCACAACCACUGGCCCCAGGGGUCUUCACAGUGCUGGGGAUGGUCACAAUGGAUAUGACAUGUGCUCCAAAAGGGAACACGUAAGUCUAUAGAGGUGUUGUCACAUCACCUUGGGGAAGGGUUCCAGAGCAGGAGACACUGGCUGCUUCUGGAAAGGAUGAGAAAGUAUUUAUCGAGCAGCAUUUCCAAAUGUGCAGAGAUGUUGACAGUACAAUGAGCACCUCCCCAUGGCGGAGCCCCUGUUCCCUUUGCUCCAUCCAGCACUUUCCAGAAGCGGCCUCACACUGAAGGGGAUGGACCUGUUUGCCCCCGGUGGCUCUGCAAAGCUGAGGAUGUGUCAACUCAGGGAGCACUGGCCUCCACGCGGGGGCCAAGGUGUGAAGAUGGGGCUGGAAAGAUGCCGGGCCACAGGCCCUGCCUCUGAUGAAUGUUGUGGUACCUUCUAGUUGUGGCAUGUGGGACGCUGCCUCAGCGUGGCCUGAUGAGCAGUGCCAUGUCCGUGCCCAGGAUCCGAACCUGCGAAACCUGGGCCGCUGAAGCAGAGCGUGCGAACUUAACCACUAG